GGGUCUUCCCUUUCUUGCUUACUCUUUCACUCUUUCUAGAGAAGUUUGGAUUAAGUUGGUUUAAAACUAGUCUUGUUUAAUCGAUCUCGAAGAGAAAUUUUUUUUGUGUGUCUCACUUGCUCUAAAUGUAAUAGUUUUGUCCCCAACGUUAAAUCAAGAGCGUGGAUGAGCAGAAUAGGGUCCUAAAGCCCAACAAAUGGGGCAAACUCCAAUACAACAAAGUGCAAUUUCAAAUCUUUUAAAAACUACUCUUGUCUUAGGAGUGGUGACUGAAGAGUUGCUGGAACGAUCAAGCAAUGAAAAAGAUGCCCCACAGAAAGUGAUCUGCCUUUAUUCUACUUUGCUUAUCGAGACAGUAAAAAAGAAAGCCAAACAGGGACCUGCGCGGAAACGCACAGGUGGAAUGCCCAAGAAAGAACACAUAUACCCUAUGGGUGGAUAUGCAUGUUUAUGAGUCCUAGGAUGAACAGAUCAGAAUCCCGGAGAUACCUGAAUACCUGCACUGGCUCUCAGCACAUACCCUGCACCAGCGUAUGUGCACCUGUCAGAGAGGGGGGAUUAGUAAGUGUAAGGUAGUAAGCAAGGUAGGUCACCAACUGAAUUACACAGAAUGGUGCGCGUGUGUGUGCGUGUGCCUGCAUGUGUGUAUACACGUGUAGAAUCCUCUAAGGAAUGACAGCAUGAAUAUUUUAUACAAAAAUAUCUUUUCUAAAUAUUUGCAAAUAGAUUUUUAAUAUUUUUAAAGAAGCACUUAGAAUUUGGGUAAUUGCAAGUCCAUCUUGGGUUGCAUGUACACAUUUCAAAUAUGUUUGGAGACCAUUUAAAAAUUCAGGAAUAAAGUCCAAUGAAAAUAUUUACAAAUUUAUAUGAAAAUCUAUCCAUGACAGUGCUCAAUGAAUCGAAACUUCUGAGAACAGCUUUCUAGUACUUAAAAAAUACGUCAUUUUAGGGGAAGUUAAGAGUUGUGGUAUUUAUUCCAUCAAUAUAGAAACACUAAGCCAUUAUUAAAUUAUGUUCUCAGAAAAAGAUAUAAAGGGUUGAAGUUUAAGUAAAAAAAAAAGCAUCCAUUCAUUAAUAAAUUGCAAUGAUGUGACAGUAACAGGAAAACCAGUCAAUUUAGCACUAACCAUGUUAUUUAAGAGAUAAACAUAAUUUUGCAGAGCGGGCAAGUUCUUUCCUCUGCCCCAACAUUACCCUUAUCAAAAGUUCCUCUUUGGGGGCCAGGGAUUUAGCUCAGUGGUUCUGUCAGCUGCCCCAAAAGCACAAGGUCCCGAGUUCAAUCCCCGGUACCAAAAAAAAGUUCCUCUUUGUACGGACUGUGAACUUCUCUCUACUUUUCAAAUCCCCAUUUUCCAGGUCCAGAGACACAUACACAAAGUAGGGAGUAAAGUGUUUUUCCACAUUAACUACUUGCCAGUUCUCAGGGAAUAAUUUCUGAAUUCUUUUGGAUUCGCAGGCUUACGUAUUCGAGCUGGACAGUUCAUUUUGGGGUGAAUUCAGUCACCUAAUCUAAAAAACUAAUUCAGUAUAAAAGGUAAAAGGUCACAGUGCUUCAUUAGGAAAAACGGGCUUUGUUCAGUAUCACUCAAUGGUUUGAUGGCAGUGAUCUCCGGAGCUAUUUUGGACACUGGUGGGAAUAUUUUUGGUGGACUGGAAGAGGCUGUUGGCAUUGAGCAGGAGAAGGUCACGGAUGGGUGGACAUCCUGUUAUUUACAGGGCAGUACAGCAUGUUGAAUUGUUCUGCAGCCCACAUGGUUUUCAAGUGUUCCACAGCUAUUCCUGUAGUUGAAAAGCCUAUUUAUAAUUAUAUGGGUUUGUAAUUUGAAUCUGUUCUGCAAAUGAAGUACUUUGUGUACAGUUUUCAUAUAUACUGAAUUUUCUAGGAGGGCAACUACCUUGUAAAUUGAAGAUACUAUGUACUUCGUGUUUUUCAGAACAUUACCAAGAGUAGUUUGCCCUGUGAGAACAUGUGGACGUGAAGUACCACUGCCCAUGGUACUUUAAUCACCAGUAAGCAUACCUGGAUGACCCUGCAUUUGUAGCUGUCACAUUCACGGUGAUUCUAGGUGCAGGACCAAGGAUCUGACUAUUUUUAUUAUGUCUUCUCCUGUAGAUUUGCCAGAGUACUUUAAAUAUUAAAAUGCAUAUUCAUUUUAUUAUGAAUUACUUUUAUUCUUCCUGUAUAUUAACGACAGCAGUACAGUGAUUUAACAGUCUUGUACAUAGAUUAUUUGACUCUGAAAUUUAUUUCACGAUGUUAAAAGCACUGUGUAAUAUUUGCUAUAGUAGCAAGUGAUUAGAUAUUUAUGGUCAGCUAAAAUAAAAAUGAAUAAUUAGUUUUUAUUACAUUAGACUAAUUCUCUCAAUAAUUUGAACCCUAUCUCUUGUAUUGUUGUACAGAGCAAAGAAUACUUGUUUUAUUUUCCAUUAUGUUUGUUCCACAAAUACUGUUUGUCUAUGAUGUUAUUCACUGUGAAAUAACUAAGAGGAAGGGGAUCUUCUAAUUAAAAUACUAUACUGAAUAUUCAUCCUUGAUUUCUCACUUAGAAAUCACUUUAGAAAUGAACUGUAGCCAAUUUCAAGGCAGUAACGGCAGCACAAAUGGUCAAAAGGAUUAGAAACCCUAAAUAUGAAGGAUGAGACUAUAAAUCAUAUGAGAAAGAUCAAAUUGCUGAAAUGUAUCAUUUGUUUUCCCCAAAGACUACAUAUUUAAGAAAAGUGUCUUAUAAUGGAACAGACAUAGAAGAAAGUUAUAUUCAUAUAAUAGCUUUUAGAAAUUUAACAAAAAAUGAUUGAAAAGGUACUGAAAGUAGAAUGCUCAAAGAACAGAAUAGGAUCUCUGUCAUGUACACUGCUUUUAUUUCUCCCUGUCCUAACUCCAACCCCAAUGUUUCUUACAAGUUAGCUUUGUCCAAAACCCUCAGUAUUUGAUCUCAGGGCUUAGGAUUGUUUUUGAGGGGGGUUGAAGAUGGGGAAAAAUGAUGCCAAAGUAUGCUAGUAAAUUAGCACCCCAAAUCCUGAUGUUUAUUUUUGCAGAUGUAAACUACUCUGAAGUUGUGUUUCAUUUUAUGUAGCAGUUGUCUUAAGAAGUUCCAUGUGAAUAAAAUUUUGGUUUGUUUUGCUGUUGGAGACAUAACCCAUGUCAAGGACAAGCACAAGCUCUAUCACUGAGUGGCACCCCCAGCCCUAUAAGUAGAAUAUUUUUAAAUGAAGUAGUUUAUUUACCUUUUUCAUGAUUCCCUUCAUAGAAAGAAUAAUUUUAAGAAAGCAAAUCUUCAUUCUUCGAUGGUGCAAACACACACACACACACACACACACACAUACAGGAAUCAGACAGGUUAGAGAUGAAGUUUAGUGAUAAACAAUAAAUAAUGAACACUUAGCAGACGGACAGGCAGCCUGUAGAGUAACAUACCACCAAAAGAUAAAUCAGAAGAAUUUCUUGGUUAGUCAUUCACUAUUCCAAUUACUGGGAGUCACUUUAUUUUACAUGGUCCCAGACCAAAAGGUCAGAGAAUAAUUUCAACCAUCUAUGCACAAUUGACAUGAUAGGUUCUAUUUAGAAUAGGGAAUGCCACUGUUCACAAAGUUAUCUUUAAAUGUGAAGGAUCUUUCAAAAAUCUUUAUUUCAGUGGGAAAAAUGCCAACAUAUGCCCACUUCUUCUCACCAUGCACACCAGUACCCAAAAAGAAUGCAUUUCUAAAGCAAAAGGUAAUGAAUAAACUUUGUGAGUUCUCAUGAUAAAGGAGGAAAGAAGCUAGAAAGAUAUAAAACACAUUAACAUUAACAGGGUAACAUGUCUAUGGUACUUUCAAAAUGACAAGGCUUGAUUUAAAAAAUUGAUCUUUAACAAGAAAAAGAAGUAUGGGCAAUUAGGAGGUAAUGAAGACGUUGUCAAUAUAGCUAUGUUGAUAAUAACAGGUAAGGGAAUUCUGGAGAAUAUCUAAUAUAUAAAAAUCAGGGGGUCUGUAAUAUGCAUUAUUGAGUCCCAGUGGGAUUAGCUGAUGAAUUUAUGAGCUCACCAGCAGUUAUUUUUAGAAAGUUACAAAGAAUCAGAAAAAUAUCAGAGCACUGAAAAAUAAUGUGCCUUCUAAAAAGAAAUAUAUAUAUNNNNNNNNNNNNNNNNNNNNNNNNNNNNNNNNNNNNNNNNNNNNNNNNNNNUAAAA
rnacentral:lncRNA from 1 species